rnacentral:lncRNA from 1 species
UUUUUUUUUUUUUUUUUCUCUCCUUCAUUAUUCUGUACAUCCAUGGUUGAUGCAAAGAAAUCGAGAAGAAGAAUAUAGCAACGGAUUUCUUAGAAAGUACAUAUAUAUACACCAAAUGGGAAUUUCAUUCCUUAACACGAAAAACAAAUCCUGAAUUUCACAUCGGAGAUUGGCUUGCUCCGUGAAAUUGCAUCUUAGAUGUCAAGCAUCCUGAAAGAGUCUGCCACCACUUUAAGCUGGUUGCGGUAUCUUUUCCACCGCCUUUCAUUUGCUACCACAAUCAGGGUGUAAAAUCUCCCUGUAAGACACAACAUGCAACUUAGUAUUGAAUUUUGGAACUACGUUAGCUUCUUCAUUCGUGCAAGAAAUGAGAAGAAAAAAACAUGGAAUCUUUGGUAUGUUAGGUUGUCCGACUGGGAAUUUCGACCAGGUAGAUUCUUGUGCAAUCUAAAUAUUUGUUAAGAUGAUGGAUACUUACCAUUUCCAAUGGCUACGGUUGCAAAGGAAUUGGUAGCAAAGUUUGGAGUUUGAAGUCCAUACUCGACGGUGUAAUAGUUUUUCCCAUCUAUGUUUCUCUGCACUCCAUAGAUAGCCAAUGCAGGAGUUAUGAAGAUGUUAGAGUUGUACAGUGCAAGAGUUCUUCUAUCUAAAGAGGAUAAGAAUACAACCUCCUGCAUGCCAAAUAUAGUUGCAUACUGGUUGGGUGAAGCAAGUUUAUAUCUAACCAAAUCGGAAACAACCUGUUCAAAAUGGAAACUUGUCAAGGGCCACUUAAACUUCAUAGAGAAUAUAAAACAACCCAAACAAAAAAAAAAAAAAUGCAAAGGUUUUACCUCUUCCAUUGGACCCAAUUCGUGAAUGUCUGUUUUAUUCGUUGGUAAAAAUCUCACUCUAACAUUAUGCAGUUGCAUAUAUCUGUCCUUGAAGGCAGAGUCAUGUGCCCUGAACUCAAAAUCCUGAAAGAUGAAACCACAGAAAUUAUUCUGAUGAAGAAAGAGAUUUUCCCUGUGGGAAAGAUUAGGCUUCUGCAUAAUGUUGAUUUUCUUACCCUCCAAUCAUAGGGGUAGUAAUAAGAAUACCCAUCUACUUUGUCAACAAAAGCUCUGUACUUUUCCGGUAUUUCUUCACAUUGAAGAGAAUUGGUUACCAAUUUAUAACUCAGAGGAUAUAGUUUACAGAAAUACAAGUAUAGACAUCAUACCUUCAGCAAAGAGGGAGGUUGCUUGAAGUAGACUUGUAGUUAGUGCUCCCACUCCUAAGAGUAGCGGCCUUCUCUUGCAAUGGCCUGAAUUUCAUCAAGCUCAUCAAUCAGUUGAGGAUACAACGCUUAUUGGAAUCUGAUGAAGUUUGAAUCAAAAUCUUUGCAUCAGGGUGCAAUUAUUAUAUGUGAUUAUUUACCAAUUUAUAAUGACAAAUCUUUUUUCAUUUUGCCAAUGUUCGUAAGGAGUAGAGAGAAACUCACACACACUUGUAACAUGAGAGUUUGAACCCAGGACCUGAGAGCACCUCAAAGGCCUGAGCCAAUCCAACUAACACCCGGUGGUUAUAAUGACAAUUUAUAAAACAUAUUCUUCAGGAAAAAACCAUUUACACGAUACAAAUUAAACCAGGCAAUUAAUCAAGAACAAUGUAGGGGAAAUUCUCUAGAAAAAUGCACACAGAGCCAAAAUUCAAAUAAAUUGAAGCAAAACUCAGAAGCAAUGUUGGGUGCUCAUCAAUAUGGCAAGCCAUAAAUAUGCAACACUAAAAGAAAGAAAAAAGCUGGGAUGGGUAAUCUUACUUUCAUCAAUGGAGGCUGGCUCUGCUGAGCAUGUGAUGUUUUUGGAAGAAAAAUAAGCAGUGGUGGUAGCUCGUGGCAACUCAUUGUUGUGAUUAGGCAGAGUUAAUUGAAACUGGUGCAAAAACAAAUACAGGGAUUAGUCUUAAUGAAGAUCGCUCAAAGAUAUAAACUUGGUGCGUUUACCUUGUCAGGAAUGGUAGUGGAGACCCAGCUCAGUGAGAGAGAUGACGAAAUUGCCAUAUUUGAUUGUAAGAAGUGGAUGGUGGAGACUCAAGCUUUCAGUUCGGCUUUUUGAUGGGGGUUGAGUGGACUCUGGCCCGGCGAGCUCUUACACGGGACAUGCACGUGACUAAAAAGAAGGCUUGAUAGUAUUUAUUUUAUAUAUUUUUUUAAUAAAGUAAAAGGAAGGAAAUUGUGAAAUAUUUAAAAUACUAAAAAAUGUCAUUGAUUAAUCCAAACAUUAAGAAUUAAAAUUAUUAAUUAAAUGAGGAUAAUAUGAUAAAUUCACACUUUUUCAUAUUUAAAAAAAUUAAAAUUAAAUAAAAAAUCAGAUAAUGAAUCUAUAUAUAUAAAGCAAAAGGCAGAGAAUGGUGAAACAUUCAAAAUACCAGAAAAUGCCCUUGGUUAAUGCAAACAUUAAGAAUUGAAAUUAUUAAUUAAAUGAGGAUAAUAUGGUAAAUUCACAAUUUUUUGUAUUAAAAAAAUUAAAAUUAAAAGAAAAUUCAGAUAAUGGGUCCUAUUUUUAUGGAACACAAAUAUCCAUUAUCUUUUUUAAUUCUAAAAUAAAUUUAAAUUUAAAAAAAAAAAACCUCUUGCAUGCGCGGAAGCGCGUGCAGAGAGGCUAGUCCUAUUUUAAUGGAAUACAACUACCUAUUAUCAUCAUACUAAAAAAAAAAAAAAAACUACCCAUAUCUUUUUUAAUUCUAAAAUAAAUUUAAAGGUUUGGUUAUGGUUGGCCCAAUUGACCCAUUGAUGCGUGGGUUACUGGCCCAUACUCAAUUAUGGUUGGAAAGGUUUGGUUAGCAUCCUAAUAGGAACGGGAGAUUUUGCCUAUGACUUGCGUGACAAGAGAGGUGCUUUCCUAAGCACUAUAUAAACAGGGACUUCCUUCCUAGCCUAACCUAAUUUUCUGAUUGAGACACCAAAAUUAUCAUGAUGGAAGUGGACGGAGAAAAUCAUGAUGAGGGUUUGGAAAGAAAUUACCAGAGGAGGCCACAAACACGAAGAAGAAGUAGGGUGGAAGCAAUCGAGUGGACGCUGGAGCACCACAAGCAAUUCGUGGACACCAUGAACCGGUUAUAUUUGGGAGAUCUCACAGUUCGUACACCCAGGAGGGCGAUCCUGAUUGUGGAGCUCAUGAACAACGAGGCCUUGAGGCUUAUUCCCCGCUCAACUCUCUUGCACCACAUCGGCCUCUUUCAGCGUUUUCAGAGUAAUCAGAAAGCCAAUGCUCACAGUGUUUUGACGAGAGACUUUGAACGGCUUAACAUUAAUAAGGAGGAGAAGCAGGACUUGUCGUUUUCAUGGACACCGGUGUAUCACGAGGACUUGGUGGAGGCAGUGAUCCAGUUGGGUGGGCUUGGAAAGGCAACCGCAAAGGGCAUUCUGAAGCUGCUAGAGAACCACCGUGGCCUCACCGUCGAGGCAGUGUCGUACCAUCUCUUCAGGUUAAAGGAUUUACAGAAAAUGACUCAAACAUUUCAAGAAAAAAUCCACUGAUCGACUCAAACAUUUCAAGAAAAAAUCUACUCGUUAUCUUAUGAGAGAUAUAAUCUUUGUGUCUCUCGUACAUCUAAUAAAAUAUAGUUACAUGUGAAUAUAUCUCUCUGAGGAUUUAUUGUGAUUGUGUGGCUAGAUUAGUUAAUGAGAUGUAUUUUUUAUUAAUUGAAUAUGAAUAUUUCAGUUAUCUUGAAACUCUUUGUUGUGGUUUGCUCAUUCAGUGUUUUUUUUUUCUUUGUACAGAUGCUCAUUCAAUUUCUAAAUUUACCCUUCAAGAACUGGUCUCUUGGGCAUUUGAAUGUAUGAGUUUUGGUUACCCAAGAUGAUAAAAAACAAAAUAAAAUAUGAUGAAUUUCUGACCUUCUUUUCCAACACUUAAAAAAAGUUUAUUAACCAAAUUGUGGAUUUUAUAUUCCCUUUUUUCAAAAAUGGACAGAGGUAUUCAUGUUCUCCAUUGUAAACUAUGAAUAAGCAUAGGAUGAAUACAUUAGAAAGAGGACCACUACUUAAAUCAAACCAAGGGGAGGAGCAUGUGAUCAUCAUUAAUUAUUUUUUGCCAAGAUCACACUUGAACAAAAUUGCCAUGCUUCUGUUGAGCACCAGAGAUUUUGUAGCUUAAUUUAAACUAAUUUAAUCAGAUCACAUGCAACAAAUGAUUAUGUAUUUAUUUGUUACUGUAGCUGUAUAAUAAUAUAUUGAAUAUUUAAGCCUGGCCUGGAAGCUGCAAAUGGUUUGCAAAUGAAAGCAGAAUACAGUUGGUCAACACUCAACAGGGAAUCUGCUGACUGUACUAGAGAAAACAAACAAACAAACAGAGAAUCCUGUGGAUGGUGCCUUAAAGAAAAGGAAGAUCUAAGUUCUGGAAGAGGGUUUAAUGAUUUCAAGAAAGACACAUCACACUUAACACAUUUAUGAAACUUAGACUUGAAUCUGACAAUAUGUUUAACUGUAUUUUAAUAUUCUUUAUUAGACAGUCACUGGCUAGACCUUGGAAACAGCAUCUUCACUCACUAUCAUCCCUUCAACACAACCCCAAACUGCCUCUUUUUCCUCUUCCACUCAGAAAACUCUCUCUCUCUCUCUCUCUCUCUCUCUCUCAUAUUGUGUUUUUGUUCCUUCCACUGAAUCCCAGCCUUAUUAUUGUUAGUUCUUCCCCAAGUAGAUUGAAGAACAGGUAUGCUCUGCUUUCAUUUAAUUCUCAAGAUGAAGUCUGUGCAUACACAGCAUUUACAUACCAAAAUCAAGGCAAGGUUACAGGCUAUGUCAUCCUAGUGAUAUUAGUAGAAAUAUUUCUCAUUUCUGUAUACAAAAAUGGGUUGUCUAAAUGGGAUUUCCUUGAUUUGCAUUGUUCUUUGUGUUUCAUCAAUCCCAUCAGUUGUAUUUGUAUAUGCUUCGUUUCUUCCUCAAGAUCAAUUCUUCAUUGAUUGUGGGGGAAGCAAGGCAAUGGAGUUUGGGGAUGGCAGGGUUUUUCAGCCUGAUUCUGGGAACCCAUAUGUUACUUUAUCUUCACAAGGCCACACUGCAGUUUCAGAUCAUGAAACCAGUUUGUCAAACCACUCAAAUCUCUAUGCUUCUGCCCAGGUUUUUAGAGAAACUUCAUCUUAUACCGUUAACACUAAGCAGAUUGGUCGUCAUUGGCUUAGAUUGCAUUUUUACCCUUUUGAGAACCCAAAGUUCAAUUUGAAAUCUGCAGUCUUCUCUGUUGUGGCUAAUGGAAUUACACUGCUUCAUGGGUUUUCUUUUUCGGAAGUUGGCAAAACCUCUCAUCUAGUGAAGGAAUAUGUUUUUGAAGUCGAUGGAACAAGUUCUAAGAAACUGGUUCUUACAUUGUCACCUUGGAAUGGUUCAAUUGCAUUCAUCAAUGGGAUAGAGGUUGUUUCUGUGCCUGCUGGGCAAUUCCCAAGUACCAAAGUAAUGCCUGUUCCAUUGGGGCCUGCAGUUGAUGUUCCUAAACAUGUCACUUUCGAGACGGCUUAUAGGAUAAACAUGGGAGGUCAACAUAUAACCCCCAAGAAUGACUCACUGUGGAGGACAUGGGAUCCAGACCAUGCUUUUCUUGUCAAUGCUGCUGCGGCCCGGAACGUUACAGCCAAUCCCAGCAGAAUCAAAUACUCUGAUGGAGUUUCAGUUGAAAUUGCACCAAAUUGGGUUUAUGCCACAGCUCAAGAGAUGGCGGAUGCACAGGUCAGCAAUCAGAAAUUUAACAUUUCAUGGGCAUUUGAAGUUGAGCAUGGCUUCAGCUAUCUUAUCAGAUUGCAUUUUUGUGACAUUGUAAGUGUAGCUCUCAAUCGUUUGGUUUUCAAUGUGUAUAUCAACCAACAAUCUGCUCUAGACUAUUUUGAUAUCUCAAGCAGGACAAUGGCAUUAUCAGCAGCUUACUUCAUAGACUUUGUGACAAAUAUUUCGAUGGGAUCAAAUCGGAUUUUGGUGCAAGUAGGUCCUCCUAUGUUAAGAGACCUCCCAUCCAAUGCAAUCUUGAAUGGUUUGGAGAUUAUGAAAAUGAGCAAUCAUAGAGACAGCCUUCAUGCGAAUCUUCCAGGGAAUCAUAAAAUGGACACAAGAUCACCUGCAGGCAAGAAAAAGUGGAUGCUGCUUGCAAUUUCUUCUUCAGCAGCAGGGUUUGUAGUUUUGGUGCUCAUGUCAGCUGCCUUCUAUUUGUAUUGGCGUAAAAUCCAUCAAAAGAAGCUGAAGCCUCAAUGCUCAGCCUGGAUGUCAUUACCUAGCCAUUUGGGGAUUUCUGAUUCAAAAGUUUCCAUUUGCAGUUAUGAUUCCACAGCACAUUCUCUUAGUUUAGGCCGCAUUCUGGCUUUCUCGGAGGUUCGUGAAGCAACGAAGAACUUUGACAAGAGCUUGGUUUUGGGAGUGGGGGGAUUUGGAAAGGUUUACAGGGGAGUGCUAGAAAAUGGGACUGUGGUUGCAGUGAAGCGCGGAAAUCCAAGGUCACAACAGGGACUUACUGAAUUCAGGACAGAAAUUGACAUGCUAUCAAAGCUCAGGCACAGGCAUUUGGUUUCUCUGAUAGGCUACUGUGAGGAACUCAAUGAGAUGAUCCUUGUUUAUGAGUAUAUGGCCAAGGGUCCUCUGCGAAAUCACUUGUAUGGUUCGAAUCUUUCUCCGCUUUCUUGGAAACAUAGGCUUGAAAUUUGCAUUGGAGCUGCAAAAGGCUUGCAUUACCUUCACACAGGAGCAGCAGAGAGCAUAAUUCACCGCGAUGUUAAAACAACCAACAUACUUCUUGAUGAAAGCCUCACUGCAAAAGUGGCUGAUUUUGGAUUGUCAAAGCUAGGCCCUACAUUGGAUCAAACACAUGUAAGCACUGCAGUGAAGGGUAGCUUUGGUUACCUUGAUCCGGAUUACUAUCGUCGACAGAAGCUCACAGAGAAGUCAGAUGUGUAUUCUUUUGGAGUAGUUCUGUUAGAGGUCUUAUGUGCUAGGCCACCUAUAAACCCUGCCCUCCCUAGAGAACAGGUUAAUAUAGCAGAAUGGGCUAUGAGUUGGCAAAAGAAGGGAAGACUAGAAAAGAUUAUAGACCCCCAUCUUGGAGGACAUGUCAAUCUUGAAUCUCUUAGAAAAUUUGGUGAAACAGCAGAGAAGUGCCUGGCUGAAUAUGGAGUUGAUAGGCCAACAAUGGGAGAUGUUCUGUGGAAUUUGGAGUAUGUUCUUCAACUACAAGAGGCUUCUAUACAAACUGUUUCAUCUGAGAACAGUGCAAAUUACGUCCCAUACACGCCAGAAUGGCUCCCCCAAAUGAGUGAUCAAGAAUCUGAUGCAACAUCAAGUGCUGUGUUUUCUGAGUUGUUGGAUCCAAGAGGAAGAUAAAAUUAUCAAAGAGGGUGAGCAAUGAUCACAUACAUACUCGUACCAAUAUAGUUUUUUUUCCCCCUUCUCACUUAGUUUCAUGAUUUAUAUUAUAUUAUUGUUUGCAGAUCAAAAUGCAAAGGAAAUAUGAAGAUUUGAAUUGAUGGUCUAUUUCCAUACCCUAUUUGAUUGAUUUCCUAUUUUCAGUUUACCUUUUUUUCUUUUUUUAAUUUUUAUGAGUGUGUUGGGCCUGUGUUAUGAUCCAGCAACUUGAAGGCCAACACUAAGCGAAUAUCUUUGUUUAACCAAAUUAAGUUGAAAUGGCCCAGAAAAAUAAAGUUAUAUCCUUUUAGAAAUGAGAGAGAAGUAGAUGUAGGUUAGGUCAUUUGUUUAAAAUAGCGUCGGUUCCUUAACACUCGUGUUUGAUCCUUCUCUCUAUAUUAGAUUAGUUUAGAAUAUCGAACAAGAAAAACGUGAGAGAAAGAGUUUGCAAUAGGAUAAACUUCAAUCAUACAAAUGAUAUGAUGCAAAAUGAUCCACAUGAUAAAACAAAUCCUCCACUUAGCCUUAACAUCCAAGAAUUGGUUGGUCCAAUUAUAACAAAGAAAUUGAUGCACCUCCUUUGUCGGCAUACAGAAUAUUAGUUUGGAACGUUGUAAUUAAUGAGCGAUUUAUUUUUCCGACUUUUUCCCCAAAAAGAAUUUUCUCAUUUUUAGUGGAACUAAUAAUGUUGAUGGGCCCUCUAAUAAUAUAAUAAUAUGAGACUCAACUCAACAUUGUAAAAAUUAACAACAUAAUUAAGAAUCUAAUUAACAUUAUUUUUCUAUACAAACGACACAUCGCCGAUUGAAACAAUUCGGUCGUUGUGGGACCAUGACGACGCAAGUUUUCCUGCAGGGACCCACCGCCGCGCUACGAAAACGACACUCGUUUUGAAUAGUCAAACGUCGGUUCGUCCCACUCCAAAAACUCGCCGGCCAUUUCGCGCUCGCGCGCAUAACCAUUACACAAUCAUCAAGCGGGGCCCGCCACGUCACUUGGACGGCGAUCCUAAAUCUCCUCGGGCUAGUCUUUUGCCGAUUCAGCCGUAAUGAAAUUUCAUCACCACCACAAACGUGGGAGAGCCGUACCUGGACGAACGACGCGUCGCAUUCAUGAGCUGUAAAGCGACCGACAUGUGGCAUCGAGAAAAGCCCACUCCACUCUCGUCGCUCACUGGCCCUACAUAUUUACUACAUCUUUUUUUACCGCUGACCGGCUAGACCCGUUCCAUAGCCGUUGUUUCGGGUAUUUAUAGGGCAAAUCCUGUACUUGUAAAGUAAGCAGUCGACAGUGGAAGCUAAGAGCUACACAGAGAAACAAAAAGGAUUUGAAAGAGGAAUUUGAAGAAAAUGCCAAUCAAUAAAAUUGCAGUUGGGACGCCAGGAGAGGCAAGCCACCCUGAUGCCAUAAGGGCUGCCUUUGCUGAGUUUUUCUCUACGCUCAUCUUUGUUUUUGCUGGGGAAGGCUCUGGCAUGGCUUUCAGUAAGACCCAUCAAUUUCACAAUUUCAAUAUAUUUGUCUACAAAAUUGUUGUUACUCUUGCCAUGAUACACAUUGUUCAUUCAUUUCUUGACGGCUAGAUUGUUCAAGGUUUUCAAUCGUGAUCACUUUUCACAUCAACAUGGAUUGGUUUAUACUUUCUUUAUAUGUGCGAUACGUGAGAGAUAAAUGUUAGCUUGAUAUAUACCUUUUUCAAAGUAUGUGAUUAUCUAACUUUUUUUUUGCUUUCUAUUCCAAUCGGCUAAUCAAGGGAAGUUAAUUAAUUUUGACAGACAAGCUAACUAACAACGGAUCAACCACACCGUCUGGGCUUGUAGCUGCAUCAUUGGCACAUGCUUUUGCACUUUUUGUUGCGGUCUCUGUGGGUGCAAAUAUUUCCGGGGGUCAUGUAAACCCUGCUGUCACAUUUGGCGCAUUCAUUGGUGGCAACAUAACUCUGUUGAGAGGCAUUUUGUAUUGGAUUGCACAGUUGCUUGGAUCAGUUGUUGCUUGCUUGCUACUCAAGUUUGCCACCGGUGGAUGGGUUAGUAAUUAACUUGUUGGUCAACAUGAACGCGAACACGUGAUGCUAGCACAUCUACAUCAAUGACCAGGGUAGCAUUACGUGCUCACACACAAUUGACUGAUGCUAGCAUAACUUCUGUUGUCCAAGAUCAUUUAUUGAUUUUACGUGUCCCUAACUUGACGUUUUGAUUAUUCAUUUAACCCCUGCAGGAAACGGCAGCAUUCUCUCUGUCGUCUGGUGUGUCAGUCUGGAAUGCUCUAGUGUUUGAGAUUGUGAUGACCUUCGGCUUGGUCUACACAGUGUAUGCCACAGCAGUUGAUCCAAAGAAGGGCAAUGUAGGCAUUGUUGCACCUAUCGCAAUUGGUUUGAUUGUUGGUGCCAACAUUUUGGCUGGUGGUGCGUUUGAUGGUGCAUCCAUGAACCCAGCAGUGUCGUUUGGGCCUGCUGUUGUCAGCUGGUCAUGGACUCACCACUGGGUCUAUUGGGCUGGCCCAUUGAUUGGUGCUGCCGUUGCAGCGCUUGUCUAUGACAACAUCUUCAUUGGUGAUGGGGCCCACGAACCCCUACCCAACAAUGAUUUUUAGAAAGUUGUCCUUGCUUGGUUAAAGACGAAGGAUGCAAAUGUUUGUUCAGCUGAAGGGGCUCAUGGGAACUGAAUGAUCAAGUCAUGUUUCAUGUACUUUUGUUGUAGGUUUUACUUUUACUAGUGUUUUGUUUUGGUGAGGAGAGUACGUAGAACUCAGCUAGUAGGUUUGUCUUUUCAAAUCUUUGGAAAUGCAUUGUUUGUUUUAUGAUCUUCUGCUUCAAAUUGAUCUGGUAUCAUCUACUUUUACACUGAGAAAACAAAAACCAUGGGUUGUGGUGGCCGAUUGAUGAAAAGCAUGUUUAAAAGAUGAAAAUAUGUUAAGAACCACAAAUUUCAAAACAUCGAUCUAUGGGAAUUAUAGUAAAUCUUUAGACCCAGGUGAAGAAGUUUAGUAUCUUUUGCUUCUUCCAAAAACACAAGGGAACACUUGUUUUGCAUCCUUUCCAUGGUUUGCUCAAACUCUUUGGCCUCUCCCCAAGCAAUUAUCACUUGAUGCUGCUGUGAUUAGUGGCUCCACUGUAACUAGAUCCCUUCUUACGCAUCCUUUCUCAUUCUCUUGAUUUGUAAAUCCUUCUAACUUCACUACUUUUCAGAUGAGCCAAUAUUUUAUGGCUUUUGACUUCUCCCUUUCUAACUUUGACCCCCCAAAAAAAAAAAGGUAGAGUAGUGCUUGCCAUGCAGUAGCUUUUAGGAUCAUUUUGCACAUCUUUAACAUAUAGUAUAAAACCACAUAAUUGUAUAAGAUCUUUUAUUUUUUAAAGUUUUGGAACUAAGAGAAGGGUUGAAAUUGCAACAAACUUAAUGGUACUUGUAAAUCCCCAACAAUUAGUCUACUCUAUUAUUCGUGUUCGUGUUUCUUGAAAGGAAACAACCAAUAAGACAUUGGAAAUUUGUGCUUGGAGACUAUUGUUUAGGAAGAAGGAAGGCUAAAAGUCACUCUUGGUCAUUGUAGUUUAGCGCUUCAACCACUUUUAACUUUGUAGUUUCAAUUCCGUCAAUUUUGACCAUGUAGUUUUGUAUUUGUAGCAAUUUGAAGACAAACUAGUAUUCCCGUCAAUUUCUUUGACGGUACAAAGAGCAAUUUCGUCAACCAAAAUCCUUGAGAGCGUAAAAGCUUGUAUGAAACUCUCCCCAUUUCAUAUUAUGGCUUGAAAUUGACCAUUUGAGUUUAGGGUUUUUCAAAAAUUAGGAUUAGUGGUUGAAUUUCUAGCCCAAAUAUGAAAUGGGGAGAGUUUCAAAUGACCUUUUAUGCUCAAGAGUUUUGGGUUGACGAAAUUGCCUCUUGCACAGUUAAAGAAAUUGACAAGAAUACUAAUUUGUCCUUAAAUUGCUACAAAUAUGAAACUACAAUGGCAAAAUUGAUAGAAUUAAAACUACGGAGUCAUUGAAGUGCCAAAUUACAGGGAUCAAAAAUGACUUUUGAUGAGGGCAAAAUUGUGUGAUACUUCAGAGGACAAAAUGAUUUCCACAUUCACCAUUGUCUUCGGCUCAAAAUAAAUCACCAUGCAACAGUACUACGUCGUUCAAUCGACUACGCUUGCCUCCGUUUUCCCUACGAACCAAAACCUCAGGCCAAAACCUUAGGCUUCAGCGGCUUUGGCCCCUUGCCUUCUCAUUCUCUUCGGAGAGUUUCUUCAGUAAAAGCCAUCACUUCGUAAGAGUGCAGAGAUGGUUUUGUCAAACAAAAGGCUGAAGCAAAAGCUAAGAGAAACACUAGCUCAAUCCUUAGUAUAAUCAGUAGCUAAAACAGACAAGCAAACUGCCGGGUCAGAAAACCCGGACUCGAAUUCUUUUUAAUAUAUAUAUUAUUGGUAUAGUUUUGAUCUCUUGGACUACAAGGGUCCAAGAGAUUUAUGGUAACUCACCGUUAGAUGUAAAUUUAACGGUUCACUCACUUUUGCACUCUUUAAAUUUUUUUUUUUUUGAACCAUUGGAUUAAUAUCCAACGGUAGGUGACCACAAUCUCUUGGACUCCUGUAGUCCAAGAGAUCGGGACUGAUUAUUGGUAUUCAAUAACAUCCGAAAAUUAUGUGUAUAAUAUCUGAAUUUUGGGUGUACAAUUGAAAAUUUUGUAAAAAUCGAGUAUAUUAAAUAUGAAAAAUACAUACAUACGUGAAAAUGCUAAGUUUUUUAUACGAGUAAGAGCUCUGAAAAAGUAAAAACUCAAAAAGGGACAAUAGAAGCUCGGAUAAUGACCUAAUAGUAAUGGAUAAGGCUGUAAACUAUCCUUAUCGAUAAACAAAAAUCAGAGAAAAAUAAAUUUUUUUUUAUAAAUUUGACGGGGAAAAUGAAGUCGUAUGUAAAGCGUAUCGCUACUCAGUUAUACUAUUUAUUUUUUUAAAAAUGACCACAGUGCGGCUAUACUCUUUUUUAUGAAAAAAAAAAUAUCCCGAGUAUAGCUGCGCGGAUAUAGUAUUUUUUCAUUUAAAAAAAGGGGAAUAUAGCCGUAUGGCUAUACUUUUUUUAUUUUAAAAAACGCUGGGUAUCGCCGCGCGGCUCUACUAUUUAUUUAAAAAAACAAAAGGGCCCUUCUGGCGUCUAGCGCCCGCUUGGCCACUUGUCAAAACCGUAUAGCCGGGCGGCUAUACUAUUUUUAUUAUAAAAUAAAUCCGCGUAUAGCCAUCCGGCUAUACUAUUUAUAAAAAGGCCGCCUUGCGCCUCGCCCAUUUAGCCACGCGUCAAAAAUAGUAUAGCCGCGCGGCUAUACUAUUUUUAAAUAAAAACAGUGGUAUAGCCGGCCGGCUAUACUCUUUUUAUAAAAAAAAAACCCAGAGUAGAGCCGCGCGGCUAUACGAUUUAUUAGGAAAAAAAAAAGAGGGCUCCCGCAUUUUCAGGCUCAAAAUGUCGAGCCCAGGUCCAAGCACCGAAUCCACCAUUGGCUUCGGCCCAAAAUAAAUCUCUGAGCAUGCACCUGUACGACGUCGUUCAAUCGACUACGCUUGCCUCCGUUUUCUCUACGAACCAAAACCUCAGGCCAAAACCUUAGGCUUUGGCGGCUUUGGUCCCUGCCUUCUGAUUCUCUUCAGAGAGUUCUUCAGUAAAAGCCAUCACUUUGCAGAGAUGGUUUUGUCAAACAGAAGGCUGAAGCAAAAGCUAAGAGAAACACUAGCUCAAUCCUUAGUAGAAUCGGUAGCUAAAACCGACCCGCAAACUGAUGGGUCAGAAAACCCAGACCCGAAUUCGGAGCCCCAGUCGCUGAAAGUGCUCCUGGACUCUGUAACCCAGAAACCCAGAUUGUCCAAGCGAGAGAAACGUAGAAAGCUCCUUGCUUUGCGAGGUUCAGAGGCGGUGAGUGGGAGUGGCACUGGUGGCAAUUUUGAGGAAAACAAGGGCGAGGAAGAUAAAGGGGAAGUGGAGUCAGAGGAUUUGGGGGAUGAGAAGAAGGAGGAGAAGAAAAAGAAGAAGAGGAAGAGAGAUGAGGAGGAAAAAAAUGGAGUUUUGAGUUCAGAGGAAAAUGAGGUUGUGAAGGAGGAGGCUAAAAAGCCAAAGAAAAAGAAUAAGAAGAAGAAGAAGAAGAAGAAUAAGAAGAGAAAGAAGGAGGCAACGAAUGAGGAAGAGAAAAAGGAUGGUGAGCUUGGGAGUGAGGAGCAAAGUGUCAAAGAGACAAAUAAUAACAGUGAUAGGUAAUUUUAGACGAUACCCCUUGUGCUCAAAUUGAAUUUGUGCUCUUUUUUUUUUGUCAACUUUGUUUUGAUUAUGAUAUUGUUUAAUUAGAAUUUUUAGUUUAAUUUUUGUUGUUUUGGUAAGUUCAGUUUCUCUGUUCCUAUAUUUUAGCUCAACACUUGAACCCCUAGUGUUUAGAAAGUGUUUAGUAGAAGAUCAGUUGAUUUUGUAUGGGCGGCAAUUUAGAUUGAUCGGAAGAUAUCUGCUUUCUAUGUGAAAAUGUGUUCUAUAGUUUUUGCCUCAUUCUGUAUGUGUUCUGUCAUUUUGUUUAGGCAAACGAAUGGGGAUGUUCCUACAAAAGUUUAUGUUGGAGGCAUUCCUUAUUACUCUACCGAGGACGAUAUUCGAAGUUACUUUGAAAGCUGUGGCACAAUAACUGAAGUUGAUUGUCUGAGGUUUCCUGACAGUGGGAAGUUUAGAGGAAUUGCUAUUAUUAGCUUGAAGGUAAGAAAUUUUGUAAAUUAUAUUCUGCAUUUAAUUUGGGCAAAAUUAGAAAGCUGUGUAUUUAAGUCCUUGCCAAUGUAACUUAGAAUUGAAAUUCUCUUCACAAACCUUACAAGCAAAGUCUUGUGGUGGUGAUGGUGAGCUGCCAAAUUCUUCUGGCUCCUCCACUUUGGAUAUGACUCGUCAACAUGUUUGUGAAAAAAUCUUAAAAGUCAGUUAGUUGUAUUCUUAGUGAUGACACUAAGUAGCUGAUCUGCCUAAAUUCAGUUAAAUAAGUUUUCUAGAAUGGUAUAAGUUGUAUGGCCUAAUCUGUGGUAGAAAUAAUAGCAUCACACAACCUCUGAAUCAAUUUAUGCUAAUCUUUUGUUUUUCGAUUAUUGGAAAAUAUAAGUUCAUGCUGAAUACAAGAUUGUUUAUCGUUUCUCAUCUCAACAUUCUAAUGUUUCUACAGACAGAAGCUGCCGCUAAACGAGCCUUGGCUCUUGAUGGAGCUGAAAUGUGAGUUUGGUUCUCAUUGGUUAUUCAAUGUGUUGUAGAAUUGGCCAAUUCUCACGUGAUUCUAAUGGAACUUAUUGUCUCAGGGGUGAACUAUUUCUGAAAAUCCAGCCUUACAAGGCAACUCGAGCCAAUAAAGUAUCUGAUUUUGCCCCACAAAUUGUGGAGGGGUACAAUAGAAUCUAUGUUGGAAAUUUGUCAUGGGAUAUUACUGAGGAUGAUCUGAAGAAACUUUUUUCAGAUUGCAAGAUAUCGUCUAUACAUUUUGGUAUGGAUAAGGAAACAGGUGAAUUCCGAGGUUAUGCUCACGUGAAUUUCUCUGAUAGUCUCUCGCUGACGCUGGCAUUGAAGUUAGAUCAGAAGGUUGUAUGUGGAAGACCUGUCAAGAUAAGCUGUGCUGUACCUCUGAAAAGAGCAGGGACCCCUUCAAAUUCUGCACCUACAAAUUCAAGUACCCAUUCAAUAUCAGUAGCCCCAACCACAGGUGCCAAUACAAUACCAGUAGCUACAACUACAGAUACAGGAGCUGAUAAUACUGAGUUGAGUAACGUCAGUGGUAAGAUUAAGAGAAGGACAUGCUACCAGUGUGGUGAAAAGGGACAUCUCUCAUCUGCUUGUCCAAUGGCAGCAACUACGUUUUCAAGUACCCAUUCAAUUGCUGUAACUACAACUACAAGUGCUGAUUCGAUACCAGUAGCUACAACUACAGAUACAGGGGCUGAUGAUAUUGGGUUGAGUGCCGUCAGUGGUAAGAUUAAGAGAAGGACAUGCUACCAGUGUGGUGAAAAGGGACAUCUCUCAUCCGCUUGUCCAAUCACAGCAACUACAUUUUCAAGUACCCAUUCAAUAUCCAUAGCUACAACUAUAAGUACUGAUUCGAUACCAGUAGCUACAACUACAAGUACCAAUUUGAUACCAGUAGCUGCAACUACAAAUACCAAUUCGAUACCAGUAGCUACAACUACAGGAGCUGAUAAUGGUGGGUUGAGUGCCAUCGGUGGUAAGAUUAAGAGAAGGACGUGCUACGAGUGUGGUGAAAAGGGUCAUAUUUCUUCAGCUUGUCCAAAGAAGCAAUCUGCUGAUAACAAUGCAAGCAUGUAGGCAGUGUCCUAAGUUUUCCUGUUAACUAUAUGUAGGAAAAACAUAUUAUCCUUCUCAUCAAACUAUAUUUUUUCGAAUAGGCUGAAAAGCGACAGAUUGCGGCUUAGUUUGAGGCAAAGAUUUGUAGAACUGACAUGUUUCUUUCUUGUUGAUAAAGCAAAUUUUGAUUCUUGCUUAAACUAUGCAUGUCAAAAGGAACGAUUAAGUGUUUUCAUGUACUUUUGUUGUAGGUUUUAGGAGUGUUUUGCUUUGGUUUUAUGUUGUAAGAGGACAGUAGAUCUCAGCUAGUUGGUUUGUCUUUCCAAAUCAUUUGAAAUGCCUUGUUUGUUUUGUAUCUUCUGCGUGAAAUCGAUCUGCUAUCAUUUACUUGAAUAGUGGGAAAAUAAAAAUAUGGGGGUGUGGCAGAUUUUAAAAAAAAAAACAUGUUUAAAAGAUGCAAAUAUGUUAAGAACCACAAAUUUCAAAAUAUGUAUGGGUAUUUGGGCUGGUCUAAGAAGCAAAUUAUAGUUAAUCUUUAGACCAAUGUGAGCAAUGUUCUGUACACAGCUCAUUAAUAUCUUGUUCCAAAAACACAAAGGGAACUCUUGUUUUGCAUCCUUUCCAUUCCAUGGUUGCUCAAACUCUUUGGCCUCUCCCCAAGCAAUUCUCAUUUGAUGCUGUUAUGAUUACUGGCUCCACUCCACUGUAACUAAAUCUCUUAUAUGCUCUGCCAAAGAGGUCUCAUUCUCUUGAUUUGCAAAUCCCUCCAACUUAAUUACUUUCAGAUGAGGCAAUAUUGUAUGGCUUUUGACUUCCUAAUGACAGAGCUGUGCUUGCCAUGCAGUAGCUUUUAGGAUCAUUCUGCACAUCGUUAGCAGAGUAUAACUGUGUAAUGAGACUCGACCAAAAUGCCUUUGAUGAACCUCGAGUCGUGCUUCUCUGUCUCUGGGGAAAGCUCCAACUCCAAGUGGAGUUUAUUGUUGGCUGCAAUGGUGACCAAGAGGAGAUAUUCACCACCUUUGCCAAAUUGCAAUUUCAGCCUCCUGGGAUGCCUUAAGGGAUCAACUUUGUCAAUAAUGACAUAGAAAUCCAACAACCACAUCGGCAGCAGCAUCUAUAGAGAGUACGGCCGAACGGCUAUACUCCAAAAUAGAAUAUUUUAAGGGUACAGCCGCGCGGCUAUACACCAAAAUACUUCAUAAAUAUAAAAUUAAAGCUUAUAUCCGCUCGGCUAUACUCCAAAAUAUAAUAUUUAAAGAAAUAGAAUAUUUUAAAAGUAUAGCCGCCCGGCUAUACGCUGUGAAUAUAAUAUCUUCUCUUAAAAGUAUAGCCGAUACGCUGCUGCCUGUUUCACUAAAGUUGUGUUCUUGAAAGCAAACUGGUUUCUAAUGCGGAUUCUGAAGGGAGAAAAGAAACAAUGCGGCAGAUAAUCUCAUUCGGCAACUUACCAAACAAACAUCUGUGUUUUCCUUCAUCAUAUCUCUAUUUGGCUAAUUGCCACAAAUCCCAUUUGGUAUAAGUUUACAUUAGUUGAACUUGAAAGAACCAUAAUAAUAUUAGAUAUAAUGUUUUUGCAUUGGAUUUCAAGAUCUUUAUGCAUGUGUUGUUAGCAUUUGAUGGAUUGAGAAAUUUAUAACCAUGAACUGAAAUGAAAAUCUCAGACCCAAUUUUGAGUCUAUACAAUAAUGCCAAAAAGUUGAAUAUGGCUAAGCUUCUUUUGAGGUUGAGUUGUUGGCUUUGCACAAACUUGUAAGCUCUCUCGUCUUUGAUUUGAAUUCACUUUUUAUAAUACAUCCUCCCCUGAAAAUCAAGGUCAGGGAAAGAUGGCCUUGUACAAAUAAGAUAAGGGAAGAUUGUGUCAACGCAAUUUCUAAAUAAAAUAAAGACUUAUUUAUUGUGGUGCCUUACGAAAUCAAUAUUAUACGAAGAAACAUAAUUAUAACGAAAAUGAUGCCGUUACCUACCUAUGUCGAAUAUGACCUUAUCUCAACCCUAUUUGUCAAAUAUAGGUAGAGUAGCCUGAACAAUAUCUUGUUAGAAAUGAAUAGAUUGUGGAGGUUGAUAUAAACUUUCGGAAUUUGCUUUGAUGUCUAUAAAAUGAAAAAAUUGUUUUCGAAACGUAACAUGGGUACCUAACAAAAAUUGUACAAGUUUUUUUCCAUUUUGGGACAUGAAUGAAGAAUUGUUUUGUUUUCAGUUCUCUCUUCUGCUUUAUUUCCUUUUCUGCCCCUUUCUUUUGGUCGGAAAUUUCCUUUUGUGUUUCUCGGGUACCUAAUAAUUGGUAUCAGAGCCGUUCCGACCAUGGGACAGCAGGGAUACCCACCGGCGACGCUGCCUCACUAUCUUCCACUCGUCUAUUUUCCCGAUCCUACACUCCCACCGCCAUGGACUGGCAUGUUCGACGGUAACCUUGCGGUGGUGUACUAUUGGAACCCCCAAACCAACGUUGCUCAGUAUGAACAUCCAGCCUCUUCCAGUUACCCAACCACCCAUCUCAUCAAUUCUCCAAUCCCCCAAUUUUGGAACUCACAUUUGCCGCUGGACUACACAACCAACUCGCCUCACCGUCUCACAACAUCGACGCCCACCGAUCUUGCUGCACCCUCUAACGUGGGAACCGGCUCCGUUGCACAUCCGCUUCAUACCUCUCUGGAAAUCCCAGACCCAAAUUCAAAGCCCCAAUCGCUGAAAGUGCUUCUGGACUCUGCAACUCAUAAACCCAGAUUGUCCAAGCGAGAGAAACGUAGAAAGUUCCUUGCUUUGCGAGAUUCAGAGGCGGUGAGUGGGAGUGGCAGUGGUGGUAAUUUUGAGGAAAACAAGGACGAGGAAGAUAAGAGGGAAGUUGGGUCAGAGGAUUUGGGGGAUGAGAAGAAGGAGGAGAAGAAAAAGAAGAGGAAGAGGAAGAGAGAUAAGAAGGAAGAAAAUGGAUCUUUGAGUUCAGAGGAAAAUGAGGUUGUGAAGGAGGAGGCUAAGAAGCCAAAGAAAAAGAAUAAGAAGAAGAAGAGAAAGGAGGCAAAGAAUGAGGAAGAGAAGAAGGAUGGUGAGCUUGGGACUGAGGAGCAAAGUGUCAAAGAGACAGAUAACAGCAGUGAUAGGUAAUUUUAGAUAGUAGCCUUUGUGCUCAAUUUGAAUUUGUAUGUGUGUUUUUUUUUUGUCAACUUUGUUUUGAUUAUGAUAUUGUUUAAUUUGUUGUUUUGGUAAGUUCAGUUUCUUUGUUCCUAUAUUUUACCUCAACACUCGAACCGCUAGUGUUUAGUAGAAGAUUGGUUGAUUUUGUAAGGUAUGGGAGGCAAUAUAGAUUGAAUGGAAGGUUUAUGCUUUCCAUGUGAAUAUAUGUUCUGUAUUUUGUGCCUCAUUCUGUUUGUGUUCUGUCAUUUUGUUUAGACAAGCGAAUGGGGAUGUUCCUACAAAAGUUUUUGUGGGAGGCAUUCCUUAUUACUCGACUGAGGACGAUAUUCAAAGUUACUUUGAAAGCUGUGGCACAAUAACUGAAGUUGAUUGUCUGAGGUUUCGUGAGGGUGGGAAGUUUAGAGGAAUUGCUAUUAUUAGCUUUAAGGUAAGAAAUUUUGUAUGUAUUAUUUUCUGCAUUUAAGUAAGGUACAAUUAGAAAGCUGUGUAUUUACGAGUCAUAUCCAAAGUGGAGGACCAGGAUAAUUUAGCAGCUCACCACUACUAGACUGUGGUAGAACUAAUAGCAUCACACAACCUAUGAAUCAAUUUAUGCUAAUCUUUUGUUUUACGAUUAUUAGAAAAUAUAAGUUCAUGCUGAAUACAAGAUUGUUUAUCAUUUCUCAUCUCAAUAUUCUAAUGUUUCUACAGACAGAAGCUGCCGCUAAACAAGCCUUGGAUCUUGAUGGAGCUGAAAUGUGAGUUUGGUUCUUUUUGAUUACUCAAUUUGUUGUAGAAUUGGCCAAUUCUCUCGUGAUUCUAAUGGAACUUCUUUUUGUCUCAGGGGUGAACUAUUUCUGAAAAUCCAGCCUUACAAGGCAACUCGAGCCAAUAAAGUAUCUGAUUUUGCCCCACGAAUUGUGGAGGGGUACAAUAGAAUCUAUGUUGGAAAUUUGUCAUGGGAUAUUACUGAGGAUGAUCUGAAGAAACUUUUCUCAGAUUGCAAAAUAUCAUCUAUGCAUUUUGGUAUGGAUAAGGAAACAGGGGAAUUCCGAGGUUAUGCUCCCGUGAAUUUCUCUGAUAAUCUCUCGCUGAAGCUGGCAUUGAAGUUAGAUCAGAAGGUUGUAUGUGGAAGACCUGUCAAGAUAAGCUGUGCUGUACCUCUGAAAAGAGCAGGGACCCCUUCAAAUUAUGCACCUACAAAUUCAAGUACCCAUUCAAUAUCAGUAGCCCCAACCACAGGUGCCAAUUCGAUACCAGUAGCUACAACUACAGAUACAGGAGCUGAUAAUACUGAGUCGAGUACUGUCAGUGGUAAGAUAAAGAGGAGGACAUGCUACCGGUGUGGUGAAAAGGGACAUCUCUUGUCCGCUUGUCCAAUUUCAGCAACUAUGUUUUCAAGUACCCAUUCAAUAUCCAUAGCUACAACAAGAAGUACUCAUUCGAUACCAGUAGCUACAACUACAAGUACCAAUUCGAUACCAGUAGCUACAACUACAAGGACCAAUUCAAUACCAGUAGCUGCAACUACAAGGACCAAUUCGAUACCAGUAACUACAACAACAAGGACCAAUUCGAUACCAGUAACUACAACAAGUACAGGAGCUGAUAAUGGUGGGUUGAGUGCCGUCAGUGGUAAGAUUAAGAGGAGGACAUGCUACCGGUGUGGUGAAAAGGGACAUCUCUUGUCCGCUUGUCCAAUUUCAGCAACUAUGUUUUCAAGUACCCGUUCAAUAUCCAUAGCUACAACUACAAGUACUGAUUCAAUACCACUAGCUACAACUACAAGUACCAAUUCGAUACCAGUAGCUACAACUAUGAGGACCAAUUCGAUACCAGUAGCUACAACUACAGGUACAGAAGCUGAUAAUGGUGGGUUGAGUGCCAUCAGUGGUAAGAUUAAGAGAAGGAUGUGCUACCGGUGUGGUGAAAAGGGACAUCUCUUAUCCGCUUGUCCAAUUUCAGCAAUGUUUUCAAGUAUCCAUAGCUACAACUACAAGUACUGAUUGAUACCAGUAGCUUUAACGACAAGUACCAAUUCGAUACCAGUAGCUACAACUACAUGUACAGGAGCUGAUAAUGGUGGGUUGAGUGCCAUCAGUGGUAAGAUUAAGAGAAGGAUGUGAUACGCGUCUGGUGAAAAGGGUCAUAUAUCUUCAGUUUUUCCAAAGAAGCAAUCUGCUGAUAACAAUGCAAGCAUGUACAGUGUCCUACGCUUUCCUGUUAACUAUAUGUUGGAAAAACAUAUUAUCCUUCUCAUCAAACUAUUAUUUGUUCGAAUAGGCUGAAAAGCCACAGAUUGCCGCCUAGUUUGAGGCAAAGAUUUAUAGAACUGAGAUGUUUCUUUCUUAUUGAUAAAGAAAAUUUUGAUUCUUGUCUAAACUCUCCAUGUCAAAUGGAACGAUGAAGUGUUGCCAACGUGGGUCUAGUCUAGUAGAAAAGGGUAUUGACUUGUUAGGGUUAUCAGGUUCGAACUUUCGUGACACCUUGAUAGGGUUAGUGUGUAUAUGAGAAACCUCCUCCUCUUAUAGUUUAGACUAAUGAUUGUAUUUAUAAGUUUAUUUUUUAUUUUCUAAAAAGAAACGAUGAAUUGUUUUCUCUAUCGCUUUUGUAAGUUGUGAAAACUGAAUUGGUAUUCUUCUCACUGUUAGAGGAAAGUAUAUAUAGAGCCAAGCUAAGCUAAGCUGUCUUAACACUUCCGAUAUGUUCUUGAAAAGACCAAUGAUUUUUUCAGAGUUAGCAGACUAUGGUUUUCUUUGAAGAUGGGCCUAACUGAACCUGAGCCAACCCAACCAAGUACAUUAGAACAUUUAUAGGCCGAAGUACUUUCAGAUAUACAAAGUCUUGUGGGGCCAUGCCCAUGUAUACUGUACACACAUUUUAACGUAGGACAAAAAUGGCUUCUUAUUUUCUCUAAAUAAGAUCAGAAUUUUUUAUUUUUUAUUUAUAAAUAAGAUCAGAAAAAGUUUAAGAACACUGGUGUGAUGGUUCCAAAACUUAUGAUAUGUCUAAUGAGCUCCCAAACCAUCAUGGAUCCUUAACCAGCAUGAGCUGAGACGAAAGUUCACUCUAUAUUUUCUUUCAAUCUGUAAUUCUUAUUACUUGGGAAAAAAAGAGAAAAAAGAUUGAACCCUCAAUUUUCUCACCCUACCUAGAAUGUAUGUCUAAAUUUUACAUAAAAUGAUUUCAUUUACCCUCUAUUUGAAAGGAGAAAAAUAACUCGGAAUUUAGCCAAACUUAAAAAAUUGAAGAGGAUUUAACUAAAAGUCGGGAGUUUUCUUGAAAAUGAUAUAAUUUGGUUAUAUAUAAAUUUAAUGAAGUAUAUAUUACGGUCUUCAGUUUUUUUUAUUGGAAAAAAAAAAUCAAAUUAGAAGCUGUUAAGAUGAGGUGGAGAAAAGCUUGGAACUAGGUUCAAAAGUAAAAUUGCAAGGAAAAACAAAAAAGACAGAUUUGGGAGCUGGGUCAACCAUCAUCCCUUCAUAAAUUAUUGACAACAAACAUUUCAUUUCCUUCUUUCAAGCACGCCAAUAUUUUUUGGCUGCCAUUGGAUGAAUUUUUCCACUUCAAUUUUAACUUUGAUUCACCAAAUACAUUGCUGGUAAAAUACUUCAAUGUUUGUUUGUUUACAAUAAUAUGUGAGUAUCAUGCAAACUCAUAAUUUUUUCAUUUACGGCACAAAAUAAGUAAAUAAAUAACAAUUGGUAGUGAGUGGAGCUUUGUAGAAGAAACUUUUUUUUAAUCAACGAGGGAUGGGAAUGGCUUAUGAGGUCUAGUUUAGUGUAAAUCCUUAGAUUUAUAGAUUAAUGAUUUUAAGUUUAAACUCUGGUGAAAUAUUGGCAUUGUGUGUAAGAAAAUUCCUUUUCCUUUCCGAUGUUGACAAAAAAAAACCGAGAGAUGGUAGUUUCGAACAUAAACCUCUUGUAAACUUGAGAAGAAAACUAUCAUUAAACUAAAAAAGAAUUAAUAUUUUUUCGGUUGUUGAAAAAGAGAUAUAUAAUAAAUAGACAAACAGAGCGAAAGAAAGAGGUAGGAAGUCCCUCAUGUCCAGAACUUAACAUUCAUUGUCUUGCCCUGAACAAAAAUACCAACCCGCGUCACUUGCAAUCACAACUUGUUUGGCUCCCUCCACACCUCUCAACCUUCUCCUUCACGUAUUUUUCUUCAACUUUUUAACACUGGCAUUGCAUGCUUUGAAAUCCGACAAAAUUUAGCACCUGUAUUUAUAUGUCGCGCAUCACAUAUAUGUAUAUAUAUACAAAGUUACAAACCUUCAUCUUCUAACCCCACCCUUUAAGCCAAACCAUCUUCUUCCACAUAUAUAACAUAUAUGCAUCAUGUUCCUUUUGCUCAACAUCUCUGUUUCUUCCGUUGUCUUCAAAUUGGAGGUUUUUGAUUAAUGGGUUUUCUCCGUCUCCCUCUGAAUUGUAUGAGAUUCUUUAAUUUUCUUGGUUGACACUUGAGCCUUGACUUGCCCGAGUUUGUUUUCUUCAAAGUCUUGAAAUGGGACCCGUUAGAGGGAUGAAGAGGAGGAAGAAGGCAGAGAAGAAGGUUGACCAGAAUGUGUUAGCUGCAGCUGCUUCACUGAGUUCUCAACCCCAGCCCGUCGAUUGGUGGGACGACUUCUCUCAGAGAAUAACUGGUACAAAUAUUCUUCAAGUGCUUUGCGUUUCGCAUUAUCUUUUACUUGGGUUGUUGGUUAAUUUGUUUUAUUGGGUUGACUGUAAAUAUAUGCAUUGGUUUGGCUCUCAGUGGGUAUAUCUGGUUUGUUGUGUAUGAGUAUUUGAUGAUAUAUUAGGACUUGGGUCCAAUGCAGUUUUGAAGAAUUGGAUUGAUUUUAUAAUGCAUGUAUGUUUGUUGUGAUUGUGCAUAAAGGAUUAACUUCAGCAAGUGGAUUUCUGGUAUAUAUUAUUACAAUCUAACAGUUCUUAGCUUCUGUUGAUUUGAUUUAUCGCGCUCUGGUUUCUCCUACCUCAUCGAUAUUGCUCAGACAGAGCACAGCAUGCCUAGUGUGGUGAUAAUUGAAGCCACCAUUUUAGGUUUUCCUUGUAUCAGUGAAAUCUAAUGACAUAGGUUAAUACUCAAUUCUGGUGUUAACUAUAAGAUUGAGUUUUUAUAUUUAUUAUUUCCUUGAAAUAAAAUGAUGCAAAUUAAGAACUUUGUUAGCAGUUUCCUGAUUUAUAAUUCUGAAAACGAUCAAGACUUUCUUUGCUGGUUAUGUUAUUGUUGUUUUGUUGAUUUUUAAUGUCUCUAUUAGCAGGCAAUCCUGUUAGUGUUUAUAAGGGAAAUUUGGUCUAAGUAUGUGCUGAAAUUCCAAAACAGACUACAUCUAGUUCUCAAUUAUUAGAUUGUUAGAUUGUAGUAAUGUAUGAUGAUGUAUGUUUUUCUUGAGAUAAGAUUGCGGUAAACAUUUAUAGUAUAUGCAUUUUCUUCUCUUCAGCCUUUUUGUAUAUUAUCUUGAUACUAUCAAUUCAGGUUCAUCAUCGUGAAUAUGCCCUGUAUUCUUGAUUAGAUUCUGGAAAGCCUGUUUGUAUGCUUGACCACUGCUUACUUAGUUACCCAACAUAUAGUUAUAGGGAUCUCUUGGCAUUGGCUUUCAAUGGCUUUUGCUUAGUGUUGUGCUAUUUCCUAAGAACAAUGUAUGUUUGGAUGAGGGGCCACUAUAAUUGAAAAAGUAGCCGUCCUGGAUUCUUGAUUCUAACCCUUAUUGGGAUUGGACUGGCCAAAAUCAGUUCUGCAAAAAAUUGAAACAAAGUGAGAGAACUGAUUUGGAAAACAUUUGUAGGCAAACAAAGAACAAUCUGGCACAUAUGUUUUGUUUUCGUUGUGUCCUGAGAUGACAAGAUUAGGUUCAGAAGUCUCAUUUGUUAGUUGAAGAGUAUUUAUUCUGAUGAGAUGUUGAUAAAAACUGUGCUCUUUAUCUUCUUGUAUGUUAAGUUAAUCUAUAAAUUUCAAAUUCUGUUGACAAAGAUAUCCUCUAGGUUUGGAUUGUUCUAAUUUCUUUGUUUAAAACAAUACAAAGUGCUGUUCUUUAAUGAAAAAGGUGAACUUAUUGCACUUUUCUGUACUUUUCUUAUGAAAUCAAAAUAUGCAGACUUCUCAAUUGAGUCUUUCCAAUUACAAAUGAGAUAGCUUUCCUACAGAGCAUUUAUCUCUUAUAUGCUGCUCUGUUAAACAUUUUAGGGGGAUCCAUUGUGGGAAGCUCUACCAUUCCUUGGCCUGAUCAGGUGGGAGAGUAGUUCACAGAACUAAAAAGCUGCUUGUUUAGUCCAAAAUGAGAUUAUCAGUAUGCUUAUCUGGAUAGAGUAGGUAGCAUAAUCAUUAAAAAUGAUGAUGGGAAUCUAGCAAACUAAUUUUCUUUGGUAGAAGUAAAAAACAAUCAGUUGUUGUGGUUUGUAAAAAUUUAAGAAGAAAAGGAAACAGUAAGCAAACGAAGACUGAAACAAAGUAGGCAAACGAGAAUAAGUACAGUGGCGUUAUCUGCCUUUUCAUUUGGUGUUCUUUUAGUGUUUACAAAUAUGCUCAUUUUAUCAUGCAUUCAAUGAUUUUGGUUUGUGCAGUCUUAUUGUUAAGAAAGAAAAUUUUCCCAGAAUAAGUUUGAGGUCUCCUGCUAGUUGUACAGCAGAAAGGCAUAAGGUUUUAGCGAUGUGAUUAUACCAAAUACCUAAAGCCCUGAAAGAUUAGCUUUCAAACAUUUGCUUAACGAAGUAAUUAUUAGCAAGGAAUUGAUUUUUUUGUAAUAGUUUAGCAAAUAACUUUUUUCAAAAGUCUUGCUAUGUGAAAUGACUUUUGGUUAUGUUGUUGUGUGAGGAACUUAAAUUUGCACCAUCUUCUUUUUUGACUUUGCUUGUGUUCGAGUCGACUACAAUUUGGACUAUAUCAAAACUCUUAACUCUUGCGAUUAAAUGAAUUAUAUCCUCUUCUACAAAGGUUUCUAAUCUUUUGGUUCUGCUAUGGGAAUUGACAUAGAGGUUCUGAAAACUCACAUUGAUAAAUGAUUAUAUUUUUGUUCUCUACUUUCUAGGCCCUUUAUCUCAAUCAAAAUCAAAAGAUAGAAUGAAAUUUGAAUCUGUCUUCAAAGUUUCGAGAAAGACAUUCAGUUACAUCUGUUCACUUGUAAAGGAAGAUAUGAUGACUAGCAGCUCAAACUUCAGUUAUUCAAAUGGAAAGCAGUUGUCUCUAAAUGACCAAGUUGCUGUUGCUCUUAGGAGGCUUAGCUCUGGUGAGUCCUUAGUGAGCAUCGGUGACUCAUUUGGGAUAAACCGAUCAACCGUUUCUCACAUUACCUGGAGGUUUGUGGAAGCAAUGGAAGAAAGAGGGCUGCACCAUCUUUGUUGGCCUACAAAGCAUGGUGAAAUGGAGGAGAUAAAGUCCAAGUUUGAGAAAAUCCGCGGCCUUCCAAAUUGUUGUGGUGCAAUUGACAUCACACACAUCCUGAUGACCCACCCUACACCGGGCUCACCAGAUGAUGUCUGGCUCGAUUGCGAAGAAAAAUGCAGCAUGAUCUUACAGGCAAUCGUUGACCCGGAUAUGAGGUUCCGUAACAUUAUUACAGGAUGGCCAGGAAGUUUGAGUGAUGAGCUAGUCCUUCGGAGUUCAGGUUUUUUCAAGCUGUGUGAAGAAAGAAGUUGUUUAAACGGGAAGAAGUUGGUGCUUUCAGAAGGAACAGAAGUAAGAGAAUACAUAGUUGGAGAUUCUGGUUUUCCUCUCUUGCAAUGGCUUUUCACUCCUUACAAGGGGAGAGAGCUCUCAAACUAUCAGUGCGAGUUUAACAAGCGGCUCUCUGCGACGCAGAUGGUGGCGCGCAGGGCGUUGGUGAGGCUGAAGGAGAUGUGGAAGAUAAUUCAAGGGGUAAUGUGGACGCCUGAUAAGAACAAGUUGCCAAGGAUUAUUCUGGUUUGCUGUAUUCUGCACAAUAUAGUUAUUGAUUUGGAGGAUGAGGCGCAAGAUGAAAUGCCCUUGUCUCAUCAUCAUGAUUCUGGUUACCGGCAACAAACUUGCGAAUCUGCUGACAAUACUGCCUCUCUCCUGAGAGAGAAGCUUGCUAUUUACUUGUCUGGAGAGAAGAACCUUGCUUCAGUCUUACCUGGUUGAAAUCGGAAAUCUUAUAAUAUUUUGGGGAACUUGCUUUUGUAGAAACUUUAGUUCUAAAUAUAAUUUUGGCGGAAUGAAUCUCUCGCUCAAAUUGUGUUUCUUUUUCACAUGGGUUUUUUUAAAACAUAAUUGAAGGGUUUGCUUUGUUUCUUUUGUCAUGCAAAAAACGAUCGAUGUUAUUGGCAACAGAAAAAAUAUAUAUUUAUAUAUGCAAGCUGGGCAAGAAAUCCACACCAGAAUGAGGUAACCAAUAAUCCACGAAUUACAAAUCACAUUCUCAAAGGCAAUGCAAUACAAUAGUAAACCAAACUCAAGUCCAUAGACUAUAAACAGGUCACAUAAAAACCACAUAGUAUAGAGAUGACCCCCUCCAGUUGCUGAGCUGAUGCUUAACAUUCAAGUCGCCCGGCUUCUAAUAACAUCAAGGCCCAUUUCGGUUGGAUCGGUAGCUUGCAACUCUACCUGAAUACCGUCCAACUCUCUCUUAAACCUGUCCUUCGAACUAGCAUAGAUCAUUUUGCUUCUCACCUUCGAUGUGUCAGGGGACCUUCAUACAUAGAUCUUAGAAUGAGUGCCCCGAUCAAAAGGAAGAUAAAAGAAUAAUUACAAUCAGAGUCAAACUCUAAAAGUCUAAUUAUUACCAAGCAAUGAAAAUAAUCCGGCUCUUCUGGCAGUUCUCCUCAGUCACAUAAUCAAAGUCAUAGACAGCGUAUCGGCAUUCAUCAGCAGGGAGGCUUGCAGAGAAAUCCUCGUAGCUAUCAGCUGGUUCACCCACCUUUUCCACUAUAACCUGCUUUUGCUUCUCCUCUAUCUUGUACACUAUGAAGCGGUAAGUUCGUUUUGCCUUCAAUUCUAAAAACUUUAGCUUGCAUUCAUCAUGCACAGCCAUCCCAGACGCUGCGUUUGCCUGGAGAAAUUUAAUCGAUACCGAAUUGCAUCAAACACCAACAAAGCAUCACUAGAAAUUCCUAUAAUUACACCCAAAAGCUUCUCCAAGCAUAACUGUUACAUAUGCACCCGAAAGUUUGACACCAAUCAAAAUCCCAAACAUCCUAAAACAGAACACACACUGCUUUUCUUCCCCUCGGCUUAUAAACUCUCACUUCAUAGUUCAAACUACAAAUGCUCAUGAGUGUCGUCAAGCAUAUCAUAAUUCAAAACUAUUAACAAAAGUAAAAUGAAUGAUGAAGCACAGGCAUACUGAUAUACUUACCCUUUAAAAAAUUAAGCACCACUACUACCAAGCAAAAGAAAAAGCAAAAAAGAAAUCCAUAUGAAGGAAAAUCCUGAAUAUAGCCAGGAAAUAAAAUCUUAGGCUGAGUAUUUUUAGCCAUUGCAGUAAUCAUACCAUAUGUGAAUCAAUCAAAAUCAAAAUGCACACUGGCACUGCAAUUAAGCAUGAAGACAAUAACGAGAGGCUCAAAAAUUGUAGAAAAUUCAUGAAUCAAUCAUGAUCAAGUAAUUCGAAUCAUACGAUUGAAUAUCACGACUGAAUUGAAAACUAACACGCUAUCUGACGAAACUUAUACUCCACCACAGACGAAUUUCACGAAUUUUUCCCAAUCAAGCAGUCAAAAUUACUAAGAUCGAACACCAAAAUCGCAGAGAUUAUACUAAAGAGAAUCGUUAAGCAAACAAAAAUUUAAAAUAAUAACACUAGCAUGCAAAACCCUAUAGAGAGAAGACUGAAGUAGAGGAAGUACUCACCAUUUUCCCGAGAAAAUGUCGAGGUAGAGAGAAAUGGCGAGAAAAUCUAGGGCUCAGAGAGAGAGAGAGAGAGAGAGAGAGAGAGAUGGAUAGGCCUAACGGUGGGGAGAGGGCAGCGAGUCGCGCCUUGAAAAUAUGGAAGGCCUUCGCGGUCGGUAGCUCCUGCUAAUAUCACCGUGGUCGGUGAUCCAACCAUACGAGGACACGUGUUGUACGUUGUUGAAUAGCGUGCAAUGCGAGGGAUGGCAUGUCCCUUUACGUCUAAUGUGGGUUACUUGGGGGCUGCUACGACUUCGUUUGCCUUCAUGGAUUUGGCCCAAAAUAGUUCCUGGUCCAACAUUCCAUGCAUGUUUUUUUAUUUUUUUUAUUUUAUACAAACGAUAUUGAGAAAUCGGGAAUUAAACUUAAACACAUGACUUUGAUGAAACUAUAUUUAAGCUAAAAGGAGAGUACCUGCAUAAUUUUUUUUUACUUAUUUGGUUAAAUUGUGUUUAUAUUACAAAGGAAAAAGGGUCUCAUUUUAAUUUAUGACCUUGAAUCACUCAAAAAUGUCACGACUGACUUACUUUUUGUUAAAGAACUACUUGUACAUCUUUUCAUCUCGUGUUUGAUCAAAAUAGCCAAUCUUUUUGUUAAAGAAUCACUUGUACAUCUUUUCAUCUUAACAUUCGAGCUUUGUUCUUACUCUCUUUGAUAUCGAAUAAAAGGAGUAUGAAAUGAUGUAAUAUUAGGACUUGCCCAUAAAACCGAAGCUACUCAACACAUCACCUUUUGUUAUAAUUAAGUAACAAAGUGGGGCAAAGGGACCUCUCUUUGGUUCAAGAUUAAUAUUCUCUCAAUUCCCUCUUCAAAUCAACUCUAAGAAGGAAGGGAUUAAAAUUCUAUAGUUCAAAAUAGUUGGGCUGGUGUUUAUAGAUCAGUACAAGUUAUUAGCUAUGACAAUUUUUCUUGAUGUAGCAGCAUGAUCAACACCCUCUUCCAUGGUCACUUUCUGAGUAACAGAUACAGGAACCAAACAAAGGCCUUUGCUUCUGAGGUCGAGCACCUGCCGGCUCCCACAUUCCUGUUCACAAUUCCCAAUAUAAUUUGUAAGGAAAAAAAUUCAGGGUUAGAGGGUAGAAAAACUUGUGUGAAAUGGUAUGACGAGUGAAAAAGUUAUCAUGCGUAGAAUAACGUGAUUAGCCGGGAUAGCAAAACAGUGCUAUCCCCGUUCCACGCACAAAUUUAAGUGAUUGCCUACCUGUGUGUGAAGAACUGCAGCAUUCUUGUAUGAACUACUAAACAUCCUUAGCAGAUUCUGCUAAAAAAAAAAUUAAAAACAAAAACAAAACCCAAGAAACAAAUUAGCACUAAAAUUUAUAUGCAGCAUAAAGAAGUGAAGAUAUUGUUAGGUCUAUAUAAACCUGAAUUUGUUCUUGAAGUAGCAUGAUAUAAAUGGAAGCCUCUUGAAGAACUGAGGCAGUGUCAGUCUGCAAUGAGUUCAGAAGCCUAAUGUAAUUAAUUUGCAGAAAAACAAUAUUUUUUCUAUAAUUAGAAAUCUAGAUAUAAUUUUUUUUUGUAUAUUCUGCAAACUGCUAACCUUGCCAUAGGGGGAAACCAGUUUCUGAAGAACCGUGAUCUUGUCACUGAGCUUUUGGCUUCUUCUCACAGGCGCAUGCAACUUCUGGCAAAAGCAGCAAAAGCUCAACAACAAGGCCAUAAUAACUUAAAUGAAGAGAUAAAUUAAUGUUAAAUUAAUUUUGUUUAACAGACCUUAUUGUUUUGUUGUUGCAUUGAGGUUUCUUGGAACUGUUGAUGCCAUUGUUGUUGAGAAUUUGUCACCUUGCUUCUCUUAUUUUGGUUCCAUUCGUUUAGAGCUGUCUUGUCACCAACCAGACCACCAAGGUCAUCAACCUCAAUUGGACGUUUCCUUGCAUUUUGUAUGGCCUGGAAAUCCUUCAAGGGAACAAAAAGAAAAAAACCAGAAUAAAAUUAGUUCUAGGAUUUGUUAUCACCUCAGUUGUAUUAUUGUAUAAAUGUGUGGUCCAAAUUGAUAAUCGAACAAUAGAAGAUGAAUGAUUGUCUUGUUACCGAAUUUACUUUUCGUAUUUUAACUUAAACAUACAUAAGUAUACAGUUGUCAACUGUUGAUUUGUGUGAAACCUAUCGUGACACCCAUAUCAACAACUAACAAUCAUGUGAAGUAAAUCGCUUGAUAUUUGAAGUGAAUUGGGAAGUCUUGCUAGUUUUUUAUUAAAAUCUUAGCUACCAACUAAAGAAGAUCAACAUACUGCUUCAAAUUGGGGAGCUGAAAUCUUCUUGUCCAGCAAGACUGGCUGCUGGGAAACACCAUCAUGGUAUCUGAAUGCACCAGAUGGAUAAGCUGCAAUCAAAGAAGGUAAUUCAUUAAACCCAGAGUUCUUGCGAGUCAAUUAUUAGAGUUUACUAAAUUACAAAAUGUUUGAUGAGGGUAGGUGGCAAGGACAAGAAAAACUGGGGAAAAAAAAUUUAAAAUUAGGCCAAAUUAGAAAAGUUGUUCCUCAAAACAGAAACAUAUGGAUAGGGAAAUAAACCAAACCUGGUUGAUAAGCAAGGAGGGAUGAUGACUGCAGAGGAAGAGGAAGAGGAAGAGAAAAGUCGUCUCCAGCUCUGCUAUUUUGGUUGUCACUUUCGAAUGCCUUGGACCCCAUGUAAAACCCACUGCCAUAUUUGCCAUGACCAAUUAACUUCAGUUUCUUUUUUUUCUUGAAAGAAAGAAAGAAAGCAGAAGAGAAGGUUGCAUUAUUGUAAGUGGGGUUGGGGGCCUAAUUAACUUAUUUUGUAGAGGCAGCAUUUGGAUAAACUGUGAUUGUACAAUUACUUUAAAUGAUCCCAAUAAUGGUUUUGAUAUACUUUGUUGUGAAGUAUUGAAGAGAAGAUAAAUCAGUAAAUCAAAGCUAAGCUUACCAAGAGAGGUGAAUUCUAAAACAUUUUCUACUGCUGGAGGGACGAUUAUCAGUCCCGAGAUUUUUUUAUUUUUAAUUUUUUAAAGACAUUUUCUAUUAAGAAAUGCGAUAACAUAUUAAAUCACUACACUAGUAUGGAAUAUUGAUGCAUACAAUUACUUUUUCAAACUUAUUUGUACAUUUGAAAGAUAUAGAAACUAUGGAAAAAUAAUCCCUGAUCAUUUUAAAGACUGGUAUAAUUUUUAAAGACUGGUUCAUAUGAUUUCCAUUAAAAAAAAAAUUGGGAUACAAUUUUGAAAGGGAAAAAGACUACUUACAGUCUUCUGUUCAUGUUGACUUGAGCAUCCCAAUUUGACAUCUGAACUUCAAUAUUGUUUCCUGAAGACACAAAACAAUCACUGGAUGGUUACGUAGAACCAUCUUCAUCAUAUACAAGUUUCUGCAGAGCCCAAAUGCCCUUGUGGUCAAAUUAAACAAUAUCAAUCUAUGCUAAUUAAGAUUUGUAAAUUGUAAUGAUCAUUACCAAAGUUGUAAAGAUGGAAGGGUACAGAUGGAAGAAGAGCGUUUCUCAUUGAGCCCAACAAAUCCACUUCUGCAGAGACAGAUAGCCCUUCUGUUGAUGUUUGCACACACAGAUCAGAAAAGCCUUAUCUUGCCAAAGUGAUCCUAUCAACUUCUAAACACAGAAAAUGAAAACACAUAAAAUAAAAUAAAAAACCGAAGUUGUCAAAAAUGUUGUCUAAUUGGAAGCACAAUGCAUGCACACAGAAAAUGUGGCCUUGGAGUUUCGUUAAAAUUCUUAAUCAAACUAAAAAUCCAGCACCAAGCACGAUCGAAAGAACGAAAAUAAAAUCCCAGUAUACCAAGAAAAAGUUACCCAAGGAAGCAUUGAUUCAAAGAAACUAAUUAGCCCCAAAAAAACCAAAAACUUUAAAUAUCAAACUGGAUUAAGAAAUACACAAGUCAGAACUGAAAUGGCAAGAUUUGGAGCCCAAGAUUACUCUGAAAACAUGAUUCAGAACCGACUGAAUUCUCACCUCUGAUCUCAAAAAACUCUAAACUAGGAAGGGUUUGCCAGUGAAAGAGCCAAGACCAAUGAGAUGAGAAUUUGUCCAAAGGUGGAGGUAUAUAUUCUGCAGUGGAGGUGUGAGCUUCGGGCUCCUUUUGAGUGUAGCAACGGUUCUUAUCCUUAAAGAGAAAACGUUGGGAAGACAAGGUUAUAUGUAAUUGGUAAGAAACUGCAUGAUCAUGAAAGGAAUAUGAAACGUCCAGAUGACUCAGAACCUUAAAUUAUAUAAUGCCAUGGGGCGGCUCUCUCACUCUCUCUCUCUCUCUCUCUCUCUCUCCCCCUAGCUACCAAGUUAUCUGUUUGCUUUCGCUAUCACUUAACUUGACUUGCUUUCUAUUAAUAAUAUGCCUCGAAAAUGACUGGUUUUUUUUUUCCAGCAAUUGAUUUGUAUAAAUUUAAUCACGCUGCCAUAGUCAAAGCUUAAUCGUAUAUGUACAAACAAGAUGAUGGAAAGUUAGAUAAAUGAGUACAUGUUGACUCGGUUUCUGUUCUGUUCCAAACUCUGCAUCAUACACAGUUUUAAGUUGAUCCUUUUUUUUUAAAGCUAUAAACUACCAAAGAUUCGAUUAGUUCCGUGUGAUUACACCACCGUACGUAAUGUUACUAAUUCACUUCAUAAUAUUAUGCAACAACAGACUGUCACACCUAAGAGGGAACUGCAAAAUGAGGGAUAUACAGUGAGAAGCUAACAAUUUUGGGUCACUUACUGAAAUGAAAUAUGGGGUUUAAAUUUUGGUCAUUGCUCUGUUUUUGGCAUUUGUGAGAAAUCAAUCCAGAUCAUAUAUGUUUGUUUCCGGAGUCUGUCACGUGAACGAGUCUCAGAAGCCAGUUCUAAUUUGGAUAUAACAGCUAGAGAAAACUGGCUAGUUAUACAACUUUGGAAGUCUCAGCUGGUAAGCGAAGGAGGUCAGAUUUGCUACUUUAGUACUUGGUCUAAUUUAUCUGCUUUAGCUGGUACUUUUGAAAAUGAAAUGUUAUAAGUGUGUACAAACAAAAUACCAUAAAGCCAUCUUAAUUAGUAGAUCAUGAAUAAGCCAAGGCUGAUCAAUAUGAAAAGAGAGAACGUUAAUGUAAAAGGUAUACACCUGUGACAUGUAAGUUUCUCUCGAACGUUAACGUCAAAGGUAUACACCUGUGACAUGUAAGUUUCUCUCGAACGUUAACGUAAAAGGUAUACACUGCAUAACAUAUAUAAAUUUCUCUCAUUGCCCAUAGUAAGAUAAAAAGAACUCAUAAAAACCAAGAAUUAUAUGCAAGUCAAGAAUACAGAUAAACAAACCUCUCCUAAUGUACUUUGUCUUCCAGUGCCUAGGCUCAUCGAAGCUUAAGUUUGACCUCUUCCUACUAUGGGGUUGACCAAUGUUCAUACCCCAUACAAAUGUACCUGUAGAACUGCAAAUUAACAGCAUCAUCAUCUUAUAUAUAUAUAUAUAUAUAUUACUUUUAAUUAAUUUCCUUUGCAACUGCAAGUAGUUCUUGUUUGGUUGGUGAUUCUCGGACCGUCCUUGAUGUUAAUUCUUAAUUAAUCCUAUAUUAAUUAUCAAUAAUUUAGUUCAUAUAAGAUAAUAAAGUAAAUAUUAGCACGACUAAAUAAAGUCCUAUAACUGUUGUUAUCUUGAAAUCUCUACAUGUUAUGUUUUUUUCUGUUUUUAUUCUCCGGAAAAUUAAAUAAUUAUAAAUAAAUAAAAACUAAGUCAGCCUCCUGUCUUUGGUGUGCAAAAUAUUAACAAUCCUCAAAGCGACUACGUGAUGACAUGUGGACAAUUGUUCAGCGUCCAAUGUGAUAAUCAAGUUGGAGUAAUUUGCAUGGUUUGAGUCUGUGACUGCAGAAAACAAACCUUAUUCUUAUGUUGUUAUUUGAGGGAGAGUUUAAAAAUAAAAAAUAAAAACAUUAUGGUUGACCAGGUGGAAAUUCGGGAGGUCAAAGUAGGAGAUUGUCAUUUAGGUCUUGUUUUCAACCUUGAAAAAAUGAGUUGAAAUUCAUUUACAUGAAUGAGUCUUCUUCCCCAUGCAAAUAUAUUAUUAUGAGAUUUUGCAUGGUCUACGGUUUGGGUGUAUAUUUUAAUGAGCUUUGUGAAUCUAUACGGUCUGUAUUUUUAUGAAGUCAAUCCUCUCUCUCUCUCUCUCUCUCUCUCUCUCUCUCAAAUCGAAAUCCAAUUUAUUAUAAGUUAGCCAUAUGAAUGAAUCGUCAUGUUUACGAUAACCAUUUGCAGGCCUUUAUAUAAAAGGAAAUGCUACUUCGCAUGCACAUAUAAUUAGUGUUCUAGAAACAAUUAAUAAUUCUAUGUUAUUUUGAAGUGAAUAAUAACCACAACUUAAUUUGGUUUUGUUGCCGAAGUUUGGAAGGGAGAGUAGGAAAAACUCACACACAGGUAUCAUGAGAGGUUUAAAAAAUAGAGAAUUGUGAAUGAUACAUAAAAAAGUUAUUAUGGACUUGUUAAAAUGCAACUUUUCUCUAACAUUUUCAUACGAGAGGAAUGCAUGAUGACUUUUUAAUGUUAAUAAUUUGUUGAAACAUAUUAUAAAAAGUAAAGUUUUAUAUUUAUUGUGACAUAAUAAAAUGGGACUAUAAACUCAUAACUAUAUCACUUAAUUUAUUCCUCAAUCUCAGACAAAUCAUAGUAGUAAUCUAUUCACCAAUUUCAAUCUCCUUUAAUAACCAAAUACAAAUACAAGUACCCAAUUUGGGCUGCAUAAUUCCCGCCCGAGCUUUAAUGGGGCCGUUGCAUGAAGACAAUGGGCCUGACAGCGAAUUCGAUCCUAAGGAAACGACGACGUGUUGAACCAAAUAAGGGUCCGUAAGGGCAAUUCAGUAAAAGGCGCCCUCAUUCCCACCAAAUAUAUGUGCUCGGUUUCACUAACUCGUUCCUUCUUAAGCCCUAGAAACCCUAGCUCUCGGAGGCGCCUCUGCUGAUAUUGCGCAUCUUUUCUGGUACGUGAAGACUUCACUCUAAAACUUCAUUCUCUUCAUCAAUAAGUGAAACUGUUUCGAUCUGUGUUCCUUUUGAGGCUCUUAUUUGUUCAUGUAUGACCCUUUUCAUUUAUUUUGGAUGAUUUUUUGAGGUGUAGAGUUGAUCCUAACACAUCUAGAUCUAUUGGAUAUUGCUUUGAUCAAUUUGGUUUCAAAUAUGUUUUGAUUAGGCGCCUGUGUAGUUGUGAUUUAUGAUUUGAUGUGUUUCUCUGGAUUGAAAUGCUGAAACUUUUUUUCUGCUCAAGGCCAAUUGUUUGUUUUGUGUUUUAUUUUUGUAGGAAUAGAUGUUCUGGAAUUGGGUUUAACAAAUUAUGAGUCUUAAACAAACCACAAUAGUUGUUUAUUGAAUCUUGAUUAAUAUGUUUGACCCAGCUAGAAAUGGGAAAAGGGAUCAAACUACCAAUAUGGUGGUUGAUUGCGUUUAUUAUAUAAUUAGUUAGACUGUAAGAUUUGACAAGUGAAUCUGUGUAAUUCUGGUCCCAUUGAGUAGGAACACAUUGAAAUGAGGUUUCUAGUUACAUGUUUCUGUUUGUCUCAUUUGUUUUACUUGAUUUUUUUGGGUGCAAAACCCGAUGAUCUUAAUGAAUUCUUUUUAUAACAUGCAGAAGCGACAAUGGUGAGAGUUAGCGUUCUGAACGAUGCGCUCAAGAGCAUGUACAAUGCAGAGAAAAGGGGCAAGCGCCAGGUCAUGAUCAGACCAUCAUCCAAGGUCAUCAUCAAGUUUCUUUUGGUGAUGCAAAAGCAUGGUAUGUAUCUUUUAUUUAAUUCUUAUAUUCGCCACUUAAAUAAUUUCCCAGUUGUUUCUUAGUUGAAAAUUUUCUGAUUAUAUAGACAUUUAUGCUUUUGUUUCUCUCUAUAGGAUACAUUGGUGAGUUCGAGUAUGUUGAUGACCACAGGGCUGGUAAAAUUGUGGUCGAACUGAAUGGACGGCUUAACAAAUGUGGGGUUAUCAGCCCUCGUUUUGAUGUGGGUGUUAAGGAGAUUGAAGGCUGGACUGCAAGAUUGCUUCCAUCUAGACAGGUUAGCCAGUUGUUAUCAGUUAACUAUUUCAAGCCUAGAAACGUGUAUAUUUCUUGAUGGGUUCCUGUUGAGUAAUAACAUUGUAGUUUGGAUUCGUUUAACAUGUAUAUUUUUUCAAUUAAUUUUUAGAAUGUAGAAAGAUGUGCAGGAUUAGGUCAUUAUAUUUGGUUGAUCAUGUUAGUGGUGGUGAUUCAUAUAGCUCUGUAGUUGGUUCCCAUUUGAAUCAAACGUUGAGAUAUCCUGUAAUAUGGUUAAUGUGUUAUAGUAAUCUAGAACCCUUAUAUCGAUUUCUAGUCUGGUUUGGAUGUCUCAUUUGAUUCCCUUAUUAUAUCGAUUUCUAGUCUGGUUUGGAUGUCUCAUUUGAUUCCCUUAUUGCGUUUCAUGGUGUGCAACUGUGUCAUUGUGCACAUAGCUUAUUCUGCUGGGCUUAUGGUUUUUUGCUUGAACUUGCAGUUUGGAUACAUAGUGCUGACAACAUCUGCUGGCAUUAUGGAUCAUGAGGAGGCUAGGAGAAAGAAUGUUGGUGGUAAAGUGCUUGGUUUCUUUUACUAGGCAAGGUUUUUUCCAGGAAUGAGAAUUGAGUUUUCCCGCUAAUGAAGAGCUUUUGGGUGUACUUUUGAACAUCAUAGGUUACUUCUAUGUUUCAAUUUGUGUUUGUUUUGAAUGCUAAUAGAGGUUUUUACUGGAAUGUUAUUUGCUAGAAUUUAUCUUUAAGUGUUUGGUUAUCCAUAGUGCAUCUGGUGGUUGUGGCCUCAGUCUUAAAUUAUCUUAUGAAAUCCAACAUUUUUGCAUCCCGCAGAAUAAUUUUGAAUGGCUAGGUUUUUAUCGCAAUAAUGAAUGAAUAGAAGUUGUUGUGUUGCAGGCGGUGCUUUGUUUUCUGCAUGUCAUGUAGAGACGUUACUUUUCCGGGUUUUAAUGGUAUUUGCUUAUGCAUAUGGUUUUCAAAAAGGAAAUUAGCAUCUCCUUACCGAUCAGUUAUCUGCUAUUUAAAUGCGGUGCAGUAUGACUACAAUUUCUGUUUCCCUUGCUGUCUACUACAUACAUUUCUUGGGUGGGCUUGAGAAUUAUAAGAGCCGACGAAUUUUAUUUUUUUGGCUUCAAAGUCAGAGAAUAAAAAAGAUUUUAUUCAUGUUGUAAUGAUUCGUUCUCGAGGUUGUUGUCAACCUUUCCACAAAGUUUCGUCAUGGUCAAGUUUGGGUAAUCAAAAUUGCUUGUGCAGACUGUAAAACCAUCCAAUUACUGAUACGUCUUCAGUUUAAAUGACAUGGGAAAUGAUUUCUCAUCCAAUCCUGUCCAUAAAUCAAACAAGACCUAAGAUUAGGCGGGCAAUAAUCAGGGACGUUCAAAUUCCAAUCCAUUGUGUUCAAGCAACUAAUUCGUCUGCUAUUUUUGUUUCAAUGAUUCAACAGCGAGUAAUUCGAUCUGUUAUUUAAUGUUUUUUUGGUCUAACAUGGGAUUCUCAGCUUAAAUGGUUAAGAGCUUACAAGGGACUUGGGGGAGCUUAAGCUUAUGCAUGCGACAUGGUUUUGUUUAUUUUUUUUCUUCAUCUUCUUCAAGGUUGGUUUAAGGUUGGCAAUUAGCUUUUUUAGAAAGGAGGGGAAGGGGACAAGAGUGAUAACCAUCAAAUCAUACAACUACUUUUUUUCGUGCUUCAUGUCCUCUUAACAUCAUUAUUUGCAUCGCUUUCAACCUCUACUCAAUUAAUGGUCCGCAUGGAUCUUAGACAUCCCACAAUUAAAGAUUCAUGCUGUGGUUAAUAUAAACACAAAAAAACACACUAUAUAUAAAAAUUAUUACAAAAUUACAUACAAACCCAAGAGAGAGAGAGAGAGAGAAAAAAAAAAAAAAGGAAAGAAGAGAGAGAGAGGAGUUAUGUAACGUUUGAGAAUACAAGAGAGAGAGACUACAUGAACCAGCCGAAGAUCUUUAUUAGGAGGAGAGAAUGCUAAUGAAAUAGCAUUAAGGGAAAGAGAAACACAAAGAGAAACACACACUUGUUGAAAAACUGCCAAAGAUCUGUAGUUGCCCUACCAUCAAAUCAAAGCCAACAUGACUUGUUCAAGUUUCAAUUAGCUAAGCUUUCUUUGUCGUCUGCACUGCAUCAUCAUCGUCGCCUUUGUUGGUAGUAGUAGUAGUAGCAACAAAACCACCAACUUCACCACCGACGGUAUCACCGCCGCUCCCGACUUCCAUCGGUGGCCGGACGACGAAGAAGUAGCAGAGAUGAAUGAGAUGAUGCAGAAGCAACAAGACGAGAGAAUGUGUUGUUGAUAGAUGUUGGAAGAGGUUACAAAGAAAGAGCAAUGUGUUGUGACGUUUUGUAGGUGCAGGGAAGGUGGGUGGAGGAUCUUCUCAGCAUAUGCUCUAAGCAUAACUUCCUUUUGUGUUCCUUUCUAUAGUACCUUUUUCCUCACUGUUCAUUGUUUUCAAUUACUCUUUAUUAUUUUUUAUUUUGGCUACAGUGUUCCUAACUCUUGAUCCAAC